rnacentral:rRNA from 1 species
GACGAACGCUGGCGGCGUGCUUAACACAUGCAAGUCGAACGGAAAGGCCCUGCUUUUGUGGGGUGCUCGAGUGGCGAACGGGUGAGUAACACGUGAGUAACCUGCCCUUGACUUUGGGAUAACUUCAGGAAACUGGGGCUAAUACCGGAUAGGAGCUCCUGCUGCAUGGUGGGGGUUGGAAAGUUUCGGCGGUUGGGGAUGGACUCGCGGCUUAUCAGCUUGUUGGUGGGGUAGUGGCUUACCAAGGCUUUGACGGGUAGCCGGCCUGAGAGGGUGACCGGCCACAUUGGGACUGAGAUACGGCCCAGACUCCUACGGGAGGCAGCAGUGGGGAAUAUUGCACAAUGGGCGGAAGCCUGAUGCAGCAACGCCGCGUGCGGGAUGACGGCCUUCGGGUUGUAAACCGCUUUCGCCUGUGACGAAGCGUGAGUGACGGUAAUGGGUAAAGAAGCACCGGCUAACUACGUGCCAGCAGCCGCGGUGAUACGUAGGGUGCGAGCGUUGUCCGGAUUUAUUGGGCGUAAAGGGCUCGUAGGUGGUUGAUCGCGUCGGAAGUGUAAUCUUGGGGCUUAACCCUGAGCGUGCUUUCGAUACGGGUUGACUUGAGGAAGGUAGGGGAGAAUGGAAUUCCUGGUGGAGCGGUGGAAUGCGCAGAUAUCAGGAGGAACACCAGUGGCGAAGGCGGUUCUCUGGGCCUUUCCUGACGCUGAGGAGCGAAAGCGUGGGGAGCGAACAGGCUUAGAUACCCUGGUAGUCCACGCUGUAAACGGUGGGUACUAGGUGUGGGGUCCAUUCCACGGGUUCCGUGCCGUAGCUAACGCUUUAAGUACCCCGCCUGGGGAGUACGGCCGCAAGGCUAAAACUCAAAGGAAUUGACGGGGUCCCGCACAAGCGGCGGAGCAUGCGGAUUAAUUCGAUGCAACGCGUAGAACCUUACCCGGGUUUGACAUGGAUCGGGAGUGCUCAGAGAUGGGUGUGCCUCUUUUGGGGUCGGUUCACAGGUGGUGCAUGGCUGUCGUCAGCUCGUGUCGUGAGAUGUUGGGUUAAGUCCCGCAACGAGCGCAACCCUUGUUCACUGUUGCCAGCACGUUAUGGUGGGGACUCAGUGGAGACCGCCGGGGUCAACUCGGAGGAAGGUGAGGAUGACGUCAAGUCAUCAUGCCCCUUAUGUCCAGGGCUUCACGCAUGCUACAAUGGCUGGUACAGAGAGUGGCGAGCCUGUGAGGGUGAGCGAAUCUCGGAAAGCCGGUCUCAGUUCGGAUUGGGGUCUGCAACUCGACCUCAUGAAGUCGGAGUCGCUAGUAAUCGCAGAUCAGCAACGCUGCGGUGAAUACGUUCCCGGGGCU